UCCCCAGCAAGGAAGAUGGAAGCUUAACAGCUAGGCAGAUUUCAGUUAGACAGCAGGAAGGACCACUCACUCACUGCUUUGCCAGAUGGCUAUAACCUGGAUCAUGUGUGACCUAAGUAGAGCCCUACAGUGGGAAUCAGGAGGCUUCUUGCCUUUGUCUGUACAUCCACAGACGGGAACUGUCAUUUCUACUUGCCACAGCGGCCUGGGAUGAGACGUCUCUCCUCACAGAUGGGGAGAGCCUUUCGCCUGACAGACGAGACUCAACAUCUGAAGGCAGCUGCUCCUCUAUAGGCUCGCAGCCCCAGGAGAGAACAAGAGGCCCAUCAUCUCCCACUGCCUCAUCCUUGACAGUUUAACACCAAUCUCCAACUUGGCGCUAGCCUGCUCUGUGAACUGACUAAUCUGACCAACCUCUGACAAACAGGCUGCAAGUCCACCUGUGACAAGCGGGUGUAGGAGACCUGAGGGGACUCACAGCCUCGUGGCUUGGCUGUGUGACCCUGGCGAGAAGAACUGACAUCUCUGGGCUGUAGGUUUGGGUCUGUGAAGUGAGGAGUGUGGCUAACUGCCCCGGCCUUGAGUUCA